ACGGCCUCUUCGAAGAUCCAUGGGCUUGGAUUUAUCCCUAGUAGCCUAUGGAUUCAAAGCGAGGCCAAUAAGAAAUGUAAUAUUGAAUAACAGAAAAAUAUAAAUUGAUUCAAUAUUUCAUUGGAUUUGUAUAGUAUGUAACCCAUAUUAUACUUAGUCAAGCGAGUUUUUUACCAAGUCAAUUUGGACUCUCAUUGAAAUCUAAUGACACAUCG
rnacentral:snoRNA from 1 species